rnacentral:rRNA from 1 species
UCCAGAGGGGGCAAGCGUUAUUCGGAAUUAUUGGGCGUAAAGGGUGCGUAGGUGGCGGGGUAAGUCAGGUGUGAAAUUUCGGAGCUUAACUCCGAAACUGCAUUUGAUACUGCCUUGCUUGAGGACUGGAGAGGAGACUGGAAUUCACGGUGUAGCAGUGAAAUGCGUAGAGAUCGUGAGGAAGACCAGUGGCGAAGGCGGGUCUCUGGACAGUUCCUGACACUGAGGCACGAAGGCCAGGGGAGCAAACGGG